GCCCAGUCGUGGGGGAUAACGUAGCGAAAGCUAGCUAAUACCGCAUACGAUCUAUGGAUGAAANCGGGGGAUCGCAAGACCUCGCGCGAUUGGAGCGGCCGAUAUCAGAUUAGGUAGUUGGUGAGGUAAAGGCUCACCAAGCCGACGAUCUGUAGCUGGUCUGAGAGGACGACCAGCCACACUGGGACUGAGACACGGCCCCAGACUCCUACGGGAGGCAGCAGUGGGGGAAUUUUUGGACAAUGGGCGCAAGCCUGAUCCAGCAAUGCCGCGUGCAGGAUGAAGGCCUUCGGGUUGUAAACUGCUUUUGUACGGAACGAAACGGUGAGCUCUAAUACAGUUUGCUAAUGACGGUACCGUAAGAAUAAGCACCGGCUAACUACGUG
rnacentral:rRNA from 1 species